GUUCCUUUCGUCUAAAGGUUAGGACAUCACCUUUUCACGGUGAAAAAAGGGGUUCGAAUCCCCUAAGGAAUG
rnacentral:tRNA from 1 species